GGUUAAGCGACUAAGCGUACACGGUGGAUGCCCUGGCAGUCAGAGGCGAUGAAGGGCGUGCUAAUCUGCGAUAAGCGCCGGUAAGGUGAUAUGAACCGUUAUAACCGGCGAUACCCGAAUGGGGAAACCCAGUGUGAUUCGUCACACUAUCAUUAACUGAAUCCAUAGGUUAAUGAGGCGAACCGGGGGAACUGAAACAUCUAAGUACCCCGAGGAAAAGAAAUCAACCGAGAUUCCCCCAGUAGCGGCGAGCGAACGGGGAGGAGCCCAGAGCCUGAAUCAGCAUGUGUGUUAGUGGAAGCGUCUGGAAAGGUGCGCGAUACAGGGUGACAGCCCCGUACACAAAAGCGCAUGUGCUGUGAGCUCGAUGAGUAGGGCGGGACACGUGGUAUCCUGUCUGAAUAUGGGGGGACCAUCCUCCAAGGCUAAAUACUCCUGACUGACCGAUAGUGAACCAGUACCGUGAGGGAAAGGCGAAAAGAACCCCGGCGAGGGGAGUGAAAAAGAACCUGAAACCGUGUACGUACAAGCAGUGGGAGCACAGGUUUACCUGUGUGACUGCGUACCUUUUGUAUAAUGGGUCAGCGACUUAUAUUCUGUAGCAAGGUUAACCGAAUAGGGGAGCCGGAGGGAAACCGAGUCUUAAUUGGGCGUUAAGUUGCAGGGUAUAGACCCGAAACCCGGUGAUCUAGCCAUGGGCAGGUUGAAGGUUGGGUAACACUAACUGGAGGACCGAACCGACUAAUGUUGAAAAAUUAGCGGAUGACCUGUGGCU
rnacentral:rRNA from 1 species